rnacentral:rRNA from 1 species
GCGGGGGGGGGGGUGCUAUACAUGCAAGUCGAACGCUUUGUGGUUCAACUGAUUUGAAGAGCUUGCUCAGAUAUGACGAUGGACAUUGCAAAGAGUGGCGAACGGGUGAGUAACACGUGGGAAACCUACCUCUUAGCAGGGGAUAACAUUUGGAAACAGAUGCUAAUACCGUAUAACAAUGACAACCGCAUGGUUGUUAUUUAAAAGAUGGUUCUGCUAUCACUAAGAGAUGGUCCCGCGGUGCAUUAGCUAGUUGGUAAGGUAAUGGCUUACCAAGGCGAUGAUGCAUAGCCGAGUUGAGAGACUGAUCGGCCACAAUGGGACUGAGACACGGCCCAUACUCCUACGGGAGGCAGCAGUAGGGAAUCUUCCACAAUGGGCGAAAGCCUGAUGGAGCAACGCCGCGUGUGUGAUGAAGGGUUUCGGCUCGUAAAACACUGUUGUAAGAGAAGAAUGACAUUGAGAGUAACUGUUCAAUGUGUGACGGUAUCUUACCAGAAAGGAACGGCUAAAUACGUGCCAGCAGCCGCGGUAAUACGUAUGUUCCAAGCGUUAUCCGGAUUUAUUGGGCGUAAAGCGAGCGCAGACGGUUAUUUAAGUCUGAAGUGAAAGCCCUCAGCUCAACUGAGGAAUUGCUUUGGAAACUGGAUGACUUGAGUGCAGUAGAGGAAAGUGGAACUCCAUGUGUAGCGGUGAAAUGCGUAGAUAUAUGGAAGAACACCAGUGGCGAAGGCGGCUUUCUGGACUGUAACUGACGUUGAGGCUCGAAAGUGUGGGUAGCAAACAGGAUUAGAUACCCUGGUAGUCCACACCGUAAACGAUGAGUGCUAGGUGUUUGAGGGUUUCCGCCCUUAAGUGCCGCAGCUAACGCAUUAAGCACUCCGCCUGGGGAGUACGACCGCAAGGUUGAAACUCAAAGGAAUUGACGGGGACCCGCACAAGCGGUGGAGCAUGUGGUUUAAUUCGAAGCAACGCGAAGAACCUUACCAGGUCUUGACAUCCCUUGACAACUCCAGAGAUGGAGCGUUCCCUUCGGGGACAAGGUGACAGGUGGUGCAUGGUUGUCGUCAGCUCGUGUCGUGAGAUGUUGGGUUAAGUCCCGCAACGAGCGCAACCCUUAUUACUAGUUGCCAGCAUUCAGUUGGGCACUCUAGUGAGACUGCCGGUGACAAACCGGAGGAAGGUGGGGAUGACGUCAAAUCAUCAUGCCCCUUAUGACCUGGGCUACACACGUGCUACAAUGGCGUAUACAACGAGUUGCCAACCCGCGAGGGUGAGCUAAUCUCUUAAAGUACGUCUCAGUUCGGAUUGUAGGCUGCAACUCGCCUACAUGAAGUCGGAAUCGCUAGUAAUCGCGGAUCAGCACGCCGCGGUGAAUACGUUCCCGGGUCUUGUACACACCGCCCGUCACACCAUGAGAGUUUGUAACACCCAAAGCCGGUGGGGUAACCUUCGGGAGCCAGCCGUCUAAGUGACCAGGUUGG